GGUUCCUUAUCGUAGAAUACUCUGCUAGACGUAGAUAAUAUCCUAGCAUACAGACGACCGUUGUCCAACGUGGUACCGAGUACCUGAGUAGCGAACUCCGUGCUGGCUCCAUCUUGGACGAAGGUUCGAGCGGUUUUCGUUAAUAGACCGACCGGAGGAAUGGAUUUACCGGGUCGAGCCGAGACUAGGAGGACCGUGGUAACACCUGAGGACGAUCAUCGAGUAUGGAACGAGUCAGGAGGAUUUUAGGAUCAUUCAGAAACACCGGGGUCAAUCGCCGCACGAGGAGCACGUAUUUCGUUUUAGAUAAUGUAGGUCGUCGGAGAGACGGAGUGGCGGGCGGACGUUGGAGGCAGACGGCAUCCAGUUGUUGAGAAGAGUUGAAGAGGCGAGGAGCAGGCGGGAGCAGUAACAGAAACAGAAAAAAAAGAGACAGACGAUCUUAGUGGACGAGUCAUCCUGUUGGUAUAUAGACUAUAGAGAGCAACCUGCUACGUCCCCGUUUCUCUACCCUCUGUCCACGAGUAUCGAUUUCCGAUCGUCGCACUGUUCACGGACCCGAAUCAUAUCGUUUCGUUUCGUUCCGUUUCGUGCUACCGGAAACGGGACUCCGUGAAUUAAUGCGCGCAAGGAAACGACGAUAAGAGGCGCGCCAGACGUUCAAAAGUUGUCCAGUAUCGGUAUUAUGUAUAUAUAAUAUAAUAUGUACAGCUCGAGGGACUUGAAAGGGAGUUACAGAGGAUCUGUGUUUUGCUCGGUCACAAUGAAGCCGUGUCUAAUUCGUGCUCGAUUUAUGGGUCCGUGCGAACCGUGAAAUGAAUUUCACGUUUCGUAUAGUGAAAGUUUCUUCUAUGUAUCUAUAAUCGUGUUCAUUGUUGAUAUACUUGUCUCAUUUUUGUUUAUUGUUUGGUUUUAUUCUUUCUUUUCUCGAAUCGUUUUGUUAGAUUGAUUAUCAAAUCCCUCGAGACUAUAUACAGUCUGUAAUACGAGUUCCUGGACGCGAUAUUUCUUUGUGGAAAAUAAUUCUGUUUGUAAGAAGCUCUAAGUAAAUUUAAGAUAUGUCUUAGAAGAUAAUAUGUUUUCAAUAG
rnacentral:misc_RNA from 1 species